rnacentral:rRNA from 1 species
AACGAACGCUGGCGGCAGGCCUAACACAUGCAAGUCGAGCGCACCCUUCGGGGCGAGCGGCGGACGGGUUAGUAACGCGUGGGAACGUACCCUUUUCUAUGGAAUAGCCUCGGGAAACUGAGAGUAAUACCAUAUAAGCCCUUCGGGGGAAAGAUUUAUCGGGAAAGGAUCGGCCCGCGUUAGAUUAGAUAGUUGGUGGGGUAAUGGCCUACCAAGUCUACGAUCUAUAGCUGGUUUUAGAGGAUGAUCAGCAACACUGGGACUGAGACACGGCCCAGACUCCUACGGGAGGCAGCAGUGGGGAAUCUUAGACAAUGGGCGCAAGCCUGAUCUAGCCAUGCCGCGUGUGUGACUGAAGGUCUUAGGAUCGUAAGCACUUUCGCCAGGGAUGAUAAUGACAGUACCUGGUAAAGAAACCCGGCAAACUCCGUGCCAGCAGCCGCGGUAAUGUCACA